rnacentral:rRNA from 1 species
CGCGCAGGCGGCCUGGUAAGUCAGAUGUGAAAGCCCGGGGCUUAACCCCGGAAGUGCAUUUGGAACUAUCAGGCUUGAGUAUGGGAGAGGGAAGUGGAAUUCCUGGUGUAGAGGUGAAAUUCGUAGAUAUCAGGAGGAACACCGGUGGCGAAGGCGGCUUCCUGGACCAAUACUGACGCUGAGGUGCGAAGGCGUGGGGAGCAAACAGGAUUAGAUACCCUGGUAGUCC